rnacentral:rRNA from 1 species
UCCGGCCGGGCACUCUGGAGAAACUGCCGGUGACAAGCCGGAGGAAGGCGGGGAUGACGUCAAGUCCUCAUGGCCCUUAUGGGUAGGGCUACACACGUGCUACAAUGGCGGUGACAGCGGGCAGCAAAGGGGCGACCCAGAGCUAAUCCCGAAAAGCCGUCUCAGUUCGGAUUGUACUCUGCAACUCGAGUGCAUGAAGGUGGAAUCGCUAGUAAUCGCGGAUCAGCAUGCCGCGGUGAAUACGUUCCCGGGCCUUGUACACA